CGUACACUCCUGCGGGAGGCAGCAGUGGGGAAUAUUGGACAAUGGGCGCAAGCCUGAUCCAGCCAUGCCGCGUGAGUGAUGAAGGCCCUAGGGUUGUAAAGCUCUUUCACCGGAGAAGAUAAUGACGGUAUCCGGAGAAGAAGCCCCGGCUAACUUCGUGCCAGCAGCCGCGGUAAUACGAAGGGGGCUAGCGUUGUUCGGAAUUACUGGGCGUAAAGCGCACGUAGGCGGAUCGAUCAGUCAGGGGUGAAAUCCCAGGGCUCAACCCUGGAACUGCCUUUGAUACUGUCGAUCUGGAGUAUGGAAGAGGUGAGUGGAAUUCCGAGUGUAGAGGUGAAAUUCGUAGAUAUUCGGAGGAACACCAGUGGCGAAGGCGGCUCACUGGUCCAUUACUGACGCUGAGGUGCGAAAGCGUGGGGAGCAAACAGGAUUAGAAACCCGAGUAGUCCCAUG
rnacentral:rRNA from 1 species